rnacentral:rRNA from 2 species
GCCUCAGUAACGGCGAGUGAAGCGGCAACAGCUCAAAUUUGAAAUCUGGCCUCCGAGGUCCGAGUUGUAAUUUGUAGAAGGUGCUUCGGAUGCGACGGCGGCCCAAGUUCCUUGGAACAGGACGUCUUAGAGGGUGAAAAUCCCGUACGCGGCCGAUCGUCAAAUCCGUGCGAAGCCCUUUCGACGAGUCGAGUUGUUUGGGAAUGCAGCUCUAAAUGGGUGGUAAAUUUCAUCUAAAGCUAAAUACCUGCCAAAGACCGAUAGCGCACAAGUAGAGUGAUCGAAAGAUGAAAAGAACUUUGAAAUGAGAGUCAAAAAGUACGUGAAAUUGUUAAAAGGGAAGCGCUUGCAACCAGACUCGCUCGCGGGCACUCAGUCGUCCUCCGGGGCGAUGUAUUCUCCCGCGAUCGGGCCAGCAUCGAUUCCGGCGGCCGGACAAAGGCUCUGGGAACGUAACUUCCUUCGGGAAGUGUUACAGCCCGGGGUGCAAUGCGGCCAGCUGGGAUCGAGGACCGCGCAUUAGCUAGGAUGCUGGCGUAAUGGUUGCCAGCGACCCGUCUUGAAACACGGACCAAGGAGGUACAAAGCACUGCCCUUAUCGUAAUUUCGAAGCUGACAUGUGAUAUAGUCGACCAACCGCGCGAGUGUUUGGGCGUCAAACCCAGGCGCGUAAUGAAAGUGACGUAGGUGGGAGCCUUCGGGUGCACCAUCGACCGAUCCUGAUGUCCUCGGAUGGAUUUGAGUACGAGCCCGGCUGGUCGGACCCGAAAGAUGGUGAACUAUGCGUGAAUAGGGUGAAGCCAGAGGAAACUCUGGUGGAGGCUCGCAGCGGUUCUGACGUGCAAAUCGAUCGUCAAAUUUGCGCAUAGGGGCGAAAGGUACGUGGCAUCAAU